UGCUCCAUUUCAGGCUGCACUUGCAAACAGUGCUUGGGGCUGAGUAUAUUUAGCCAGGUGCCUUUCCUCCCUCUUCCCUGUCUGAUCACAUCUCUUAAUACUUUUGCCUUUGCAGGAAACCGGCACUGCCAUUUCACUCCCUGCUUUCAAAAGGAAAAUAACUCCGAGGGGAAAUUGACUGUGAAGCCUUAAGGAGUGGCCCCUCAAGAUGGGGAGAAAAAGGAAAGAAAGAAAUACAAUCAGGCGCUCACAGUGGAGGAAAUUAAGUGCUGGCAGAGCAGCAGCCGUGCCAGUCCAGAGCCUGCACACCCAGGAAUGCUAAUGGCCUUAGAAACUGGUGAGGGACUCUGCCACCCUGGGUGCAGGGAGCUGGGAUGCUCGAGGGGGAAGAUCGUGUUCAUUUAACAAGGAAUUCUGGACACUGGACCAAAGGUGCCCUGUUUACCUCCCCCUGGACCUGCUGCUGAUAGACAGAAGAGGACACAACGCUGUGUGUACUGACUUUAUGACCCACUGGAAGAAAUUAGAGCCACGUGACUUGCAGCAAGUGACCUUAUCUCUGUGGGCCUCAGCUUCUCCAGUGGCACAGUGGUACAGACCUAAGGUUCACUGUGUACUCUGGCUUGAUUUGGUCCGAGUUGAACACAGCCCACUGACAAUAUUAAAUCCUACUGCUAGUCCUCAUCAGGCCAGCAUCUCCAAGGGGAGGAGCCUACGCAUUCGUAUUUUAAAAACUUCUCAGGCAACUGGGAUGUGCAGAUGUGCAACUGGGGCCAAGUAGGGCUCCUGGUCCUAUGCAAAGGUGCUGGGGAUGGAACCCAGGGCCUUGGGCACGCUACUGGCAGGCAAGUGCUGUGCCACCAAGCUAUACCCCCUAGCUCCCCAGUUUUUAAGGAAGAGAGCUGCUGCCUGGCCUACGAGGACCAGCGCUCACCAUGCAUCCCCUCGGCCUGUGAGGUGCUUCUGGAGAAGUCUGUGUGCACGGUUUUCCGAGGCGACGUCUUCAGCUCCGAGUUGGCCCCAUUGACGUAGACAGAGAAGCCCUGCUCCAGGUGCUCCAGGCGCAAUUGCACAGGGUCCUUUGCUUUCAAAUGUUUCAAUAUCCUGGAAGUGAAAUGUUCAUGUGGGCAUCUGAGCUGCUACCACCCCCACGCCAGAAGUGAACUGCUUUUGGAAUGACAACGCGUGAGGCAGCUUUAAUAAGAGGCCAGGUGGCGUGGGUCCAGCCGUUAGUCUACAAAUGGCCUCUAAGAGGCCCAUUACACACAUGGAGAAACCGUGACGGGGAGAUAGUUUGGGGCCCUGUGGGGAAGUUUCUGCCACUAUGCUGAGGCUCAAAGGCACAUUAGUCAAAAUGAACACUUGCAGUCCCUGCCUGGUGGUGGCCAAGGCUGAAAAGAGGGGUGUGCACCGUGCUGCGACCGUAUGACCUGGAUUUUCUGAGGCAGUUUCAAUUUUACGCCAUUUUACUUUGUGUGAACAGUGAUAUUUUGAUGUGUAACAAAAGGUGGCUUAGGGUCUAAGGCUUUGUAGAAGGGAUUUCACAUACCACAUCCACAAAUCAGGAACGGUCCCCAGCAGGCUAAGCAGACUAAUCUCUUCACUUUGGAGAAUAAAUGUAUUCUCAAAUA